UAUGUAGGCAGCAAGCGUUGUUCGGAGUUAUUGGGCGUAAAGAGCGUGUAGGCGGCUUUACAGGUCCGUUGUGAAAACUCGAGGCUCAACCUCGAGACGCCGGUGGAAACCGUAAGGCUAGAGUCCGGAAGAGGAGAGUGGAAUUCCUGGUGUAGCGGUGAAAUGCGCAGAUAUCAGGAAGAACACCCGUGGCGAAGGCGGCUCUCUGGGACGGUACUGACGCUGAGACGCGAAAGCGUGGGGAGCGAACAGG
rnacentral:rRNA from 1 species